rnacentral:rRNA from 1 species
CCACCGGGGGCAUGCCUUAGUACGGCGAGUGAGCGGCAAAAGCUCAAAUUUGAAAUCUGGUACCUUCGGUGCCCGAGUUGUAAUUUGGAGAGGGCAACUUUGGGGCCGUUCCUUGUCUAUGUUCCUUGGAACAGGACGUCAUAGAGGGUGAGAAUCCCGUGUGGCGAGGAGUGCGGUUCUUUGUAAAGUGCCUUCGAAGAGUCGAGUUGUUUGGGAAUGCAGCUCUAAGUGGGUGGUAAAUUCCAUCUAAAGCUAAAUAUUGGCGAGAGACCGAUAGCGAACAAGUACAGUGAUGGAAAGAUGAAAAGAACUUUGAAAAGAGAGUGAAAAAGUACGUGAAAUUGUUGAAAGGGAAGGGCAUUUGAUCAGACAUGGUGUUUUGUGCCCUCUGCUCCUUGUGGGUAGGGGAAUCUCGCAUUUCACUGGGCCAGCAUCAGUUUUGGUGGCAGGAUAAAUCCAUAGGAAUGUAGCUCGCCUCGGUAAGUAUUAUAGCCUGUGGGAAAACUGCCAGCUGGGACUGAGGACCGCCACCUAAGUCAAGGAAGGUGGCAUAAUGGUUAUUUU